GAUGAACGCUGGCGGCGUGCCUAAUACAUGCAAGUCGAGCGAACAGAUAAGGAGCUUGCUCCUUUGACGUUAGCGGCGGACGGGUGAGUAACACGUGGGUAACCUACCUAUAAGACUGGGAUAACUUCGGGAAACCGGAGCUAAUACCGGAUAACAUUUUGAACCGCAUGGUUCUAAAGUGAAAGAUGGUUUUGCUAUCACUUAUAGAUGGACCCGCGCCGUAUUAGCUAGUUGGUAAGGUAACGGCUUACCAAGGCGACGAUACGUAGCCGACCUGGGAGGGGGGACGGCCAACCUGGAAAUGAGACACGGUCCAGACACCGACGGGAGGCAGCAGGAGGGAAUCUUCCGCAAUAGGGGGAAGCCUGACGGAGCAACGCCGCGUGAGGUAGGAAGGGGUUCGGCUCGGAAAACUCUGUUAUUAGGGAAGAACAAAUGUGUAAGUAACUGUGCACGUCUUGACGGUACCUAAUCAGAAAGCCACGGCUAACUACGUG
rnacentral:rRNA from 1 species